CACACACAUGUGUGCAUAUGUGUAUAUAUAUAUAUAUUUUUUUUUGUGCGCGUAUGCGUCGCGUGAGCGUGUGUAGGUGUGUAAGGUGGGGUAUUUUAAUCUUUCCAGUAUUCGUAUAUCUUAGAAAUUAAGAAAUAAAGGAAAAGUUUCAUGUAAAAGUUGUAGAUUUUCUUGGUGGAAAGAAGAUGGAAAUGACAAAUUUUGUGUAUGAGGCAUUACUAAGGUCAAGUCAAGGUCAACAUAAAUAGGAACCACUAUUUUUUAUUGCAUAUUUUUGUAGCUGAAGACAAGGCGUUUCCAAAACACUAAUAAAAUAUUUUUUUGUUAAGCACUUUUCGAGUUAUAAAACUUGAGUUUAGUUUACUGUACUGCUGACAUUAUCAUUAUAUAAGGUGUAUCAUAUGAAGGUUAGUAAUCGAAUUUAAUCUGAUGUAUAUACGUAUGCACAUAGAGGAGAGAAAGGGGAAUCAAAGAUAUACACAUCCUGCUCUUGUUUCUAUUCAUUACCUGAACUAUGUUUGAUGAUCAAUUCCAAGAUCAGUUCCAGGUCGACUGGCAUUUUUCCGUGUUAACAUUACUCAGGAUGAACGAUGUAGACGUAACAGGGAGUUCAAAUCUUUAUGCUUGAUUUACAUGAGUCUUCUUGCUUCUCAAUAAAAUAUUCCAAACAGUCGAUCAAAAAGUAUAAUUUUUUCCCUCUCCCAUAUAUGCACGUACGCACAUACGCACAUACGCACACAAUAAAUUAAAGCCGAUGUGGAUAUCUGUACGAAAAUGAUGGUCGUAUCCAUUAAGGAGGCCUAACUCGAAGCUUUUUAGUCGAUUGCAGCGUUUCGUCUCAAUCCUACACUCAUCAGUAAGAUGAUGUAGGACCUGCCUUAGACGCCUAGAAUAAAUUUAGAUUGAUAUUCUAUUUAAAGGGAAUUCGCGUGGCUGCGAUGCUCACGCGAAUUCGAGCGAGUCCCGUUGGACGAAUCGCCACAAUAGUGUUUUAAAAGCAUUUCGACUUCAGCUAAGAAUGUGCAAUAAAAAAUAAUGGUUCUUAUUUAAAAAA